UCUCUGGUGGUUCAGUGGUUAAGACUUUGUGCUCCCAAUGCAGGGGGUCCGGGUUCUAUCCCUGGUCAGGGAA
rfam:TPA: Bos taurus chromosome 14, whole genome shotgun sequence.